GAUGAACGCUGGCGGCGUGCCUAAUACAUGCAAGUCGAGCGAACAGACGAGGAGCUUGCUCCUCUGACGUUAGCGGCGGACGGGUGAGUAACACGUGGAUAACCUACCUAUAAGACUGGGAUAACUUCGGGAAACCGGAGCUAAUACCGGAUAAUAUAUUGAACCGCAUGGUUCAAUAGUGAAAGACGGUUUUGCUGUAACUUAUAGAUGGAUCCGCGCCGCAUUAGCUAGUUGGUAAGGUAACGGCUUACCAAGGCAACGAUGCGUAGCCGACCUGACAGGGUGAUCGGCCACACUGGAACGGAGACGCGGUCCAGACUCCUACGAGAGGCAGCAGUAGGGAAUCUGCCGCAAUGGGCGAAAGCCUGACGGAGCAACGCCGCGUGAGUGAUGAAGGUCUUCGGAGCGUAAAACUCUGUUACUAGGGAAGAACAAAUGUGUAAGUAACUAUGCACGUCUUGACGGUACCUAAUCAGAAAGCCACGGCUAACUACGUG
rnacentral:rRNA from 1 species